rnacentral:rRNA from 1 species
UACGGAGGAUCCAAGCGUUAUCCGGAAUCAUUGGGUUUAAAGGGUCCGUAGGUGGGUCUUUAAGUCAGUGGUGAAAGCCGACAGCUCAACUGUCGAACUGCCAUUGAUACUGUAGGUCUUGAAUUCGGUCGAAGUGGGCGGAAUGUGUCAUGUAGCGGUGAAAUGCAUAGAUAUUACACAGAAUACCGAUUGCGAAGGCAGUCUACUACGUAUGUACUGACGCUGAGGGACGAAAGCGUGGGGAGCGAACAGG